rnacentral:rRNA from 1 species
UAGGGAAUCUUCCGCAAUGGGCGAAAGCCUGACGGAGCAACGCCGCGUGAGUGAUGAAGGUCUUCGGAUCGUAAAACUCUGUUAUUAGGGAAGAACAAAUGUGUAAGUAACUAUGCACGUCUUGACGGUACCUAAUCAGAAAGCCACGGCUAACUACGUGCCAGCAGCCUCGGUAAUACGUAGGUGGCAAGCGUUAUCCGGAAUUAUUGGGCGUAAAGCGCGCGUAGGCGGUUUUUUAAGUCUGAUGUGAAAGCCCCCGGCUCAAACGUGGUGGGUCACUGGAAACUGGAAAACUUGAGUGCAGAAGAGGAAAGUGGAAUUCCAUGUGUAGCGGUGAAAUGCGCAGAGAUAUGGAGGAACACCAGUGGCGAAGGCGACUUUCUGGUCUGUAACUGACGCUGAUGUGCGAAAGCGUGGGGAUCAAACAGG